rnacentral:rRNA from 1 species
CCUACGGGAGGCAGCAGUGAGGAAUAUUGGUCAAUGGACGCAAGUCUGAACCAGCCAUGCCGCGUGAAGGAUGAAGGCGUUUGCGUUGUAAACUUCUUUUAUCAGGGAAGCGGUACCUGAGGAAUAAGCACCGGCUAACUCCGUGCCAGCAGCCGCGGUAAUACGGAGGGUGCAAGCGUUAUCCGGAUUUACUGGGUUUAAAGGGUGUGUAGGCGGGCUUUUAAGUCUGGGGUGAAAUCCCGAAGCUCAACUUCGGAACUGCCUUGGAUACUAUUAGUCUUGAAUUAUGUUGAGGUUGGCGGAAUAUAACAUGUAGCGGUGAAAUGCAUAGAUAUGUUAUAGAACACCGAUUGCGAAGGCAGCUAACUAACAAUAUUGACGCUGAGGCACGAAAGCGUGGGGAUCAAACAGGAUUAGAUACCCUUGUAGUC